UACGUAGGGUGCGAGCGUUUGUCCGGAAUUAUUGGGCGUAAAGAGCUCGUAGGCGGUCUGUCGCGUCGGUCGUGAAACGUCGCAGCUUAACUGUGGGCGUGCGGUCGAUACGGGCAUGACUGGAGUUCGGCAGGGGAGACUGGAAUUCCUGGUGUAGCGGUGAAAUGCGCAGAUAUCAGGAGGAACACCGGUGGCGAAGGCGGGUCUCUGGGCCGAUACUGACGCUGAGGAGCGAAAGCGUGGGGAGCGAACAGG
rnacentral:rRNA from 1 species